AUUGAACGCUGGCGGCAUGCCUUACACAUGCAAGUCGAACGGCAGCGGGGACUUCGGUCCGCCCGCGAGUGGCGAACGGGUGAGUAAUGUAUCGGAACGUACCAUUCAGUGGGGGAUAACUAUCAGAAAGGAUAGCUAAUACCGCAUAUUCUGUGAGCAGGAAAGCAGGGGAUCGCAAGACCUUGAGCUGAUUGAGCGGCCGAUAUCAGAUUAGCUAGUUGGUGAAGUAACGGCUCACCAAGGCUACGAUCUGUAGCGGGUCUGAGAGGAUGAUCCGCCACACUGGGACUGAGACACGGCCCAGACUCCUACGGGAGGCAGCAGUGGGGAAUUUUGGACAAUGGGCGCAAGCCUGAUCCAGCCAUGCCGCGUGAGUGAAGAAGGCCUUCGGGUUGUAAAGCUCUUUCGGCCGGGAAGAAAUCGCAUCAGCUAAUACCUGGUGUGGAUGACGGUACCGGAAUAAGAAGCACCGGCUAACUACGUGCCAGCCGCCGCCGUAAUAC
rnacentral:rRNA from 1 species